GAUGAUUUUAUAAGGGACAUUCCUCCCUUCACUCUGCACUUCUCUCUCCUGCCACCAUGUGAAGAAGGAGGUGUUUGCUUCCCCUUCUGCCAUGAUUGUAAGAUUCCUGAGGCCUCUGCAGCCAUGCAGAACUGUGAGUCAAUUAAACCUCUUUCCUUUAUAAAUUACCCAGUCUCAGGUAUUUCCUUAUAGCAAUGAGAGAAUGAACUAAUACACCAUCUGACAUGGAUUUUUGUAUGUGGCAUGAGGUAGUCUAUUGUUCCUGUAUUUGCAUCAACUUUUUUUAAUCGGCUCCAUCUCCAUUUAAAACAAUUUUUUAAAUUAUACUUUAAGUUCUGGGAUACAUGUGCAGAACGUGCAGGUUUGUUACAUAGGUAUACACGCACCAUGGUGGUUUGCCGCACCCAUCAACCAGUCAUCUACAUUUCUCCUAAUGCUAUCCCUCCCCUAGCUCUCUACUUCCUCAUAGGCCCUGGUGUGUGAUGCUCCCCUCCCUGUGUCCAUGUGUUCUCAUUGUUCAACUCUCACUUAUGAGUGAGAACAUGUGGUAUUUGGUUUUCUGUUCUUGUGUUAGUUUACUGAGAAUGAUGGUUUCCAGCUUCAUCUAUGUCCCUGCAAAGGACAUGAACUCAUCAAUUUUGAUGGCUGCAUACUAUUCCAUGGUGUAUAUGUGCC
rnacentral:lncRNA from 1 species